UAGUUUUGUGGCACAGAGUUUGCAUCAGAAGAUUUAUAGUACAAAGCGCCAGAGUUCUUAUCUAGGACCAGCAAAAUUAUUUAAAAUUAUUUAUUUCAUUAAAAUUACGCCCACAUCAUGCGGAACAAUCAACAAAUUUUGCUACUAAGUGGUGUGGCUUUGCGGCAAGCCAUUCGGACUCGCCAAUAAAAUGGAGGUCGCUUAUCAUUGAGCUUAGCCUUGUAACGGACAGCAGUCAUGGGUAUGAGAUCAUUUUGCCCGCAGCUUCUUAAUGGCAUUUGUAUCUUUACCAAGGUUAUAAUAAGGCUUUUUUCUAUUAUUACAAAUAAGAGCUUAUUCUUGAGCUUCAUCGAA